CGAGCGCCGCCCGUACGCCGCACCCGCAGCCACGCACUCGAGGCCGAGCUCCCGAGCGCGCCGCCGCCUCCACCUUGCGACCCGCCGGCGACCGGAUCCUCGCCGGAGAUGAGUGCCGCCGUGCCCUGCUCCCUCCUCUCUUCCUCUGUCUCCUCUCACCUCGCUCAUCCCCCGAUCUCUCUGUCCCCAGGACGAACAGGAGCAUGCUAUGGCCUCGGAUCCGCGCCGCCGUCGUCGGAGAACGUCGUCCGCCACCGGUUCUUCGACCACAACUACCGGAUCAAGUUGCCCCGCCUCCGAUCUACCCGUUCCCGGCCACCCCAACCUCGCCUCGUCGUCGGGCGCGCAGAGAGACGGCCAUGGCCGCCCGAUUCCCGAGCGCCGCCUGCCAAGGUGGCUGCCCGAUGCACGAGCGCCGCCGGCCAAGGACCCGCCGGCGUCCAGACCCCCUCCACGCCAUCCCCAUCUCGCCGGAGACCUGCUCCAAGUCUGGCCGCCCUCCAAACAGUACGCGGAGACAGAGGCCAAGGAUGACAGGCAACUCUUGGAGGAGGACACCUCAAAUCAGUCUGGGAAGUUGUCGUCGUUUUCCUCGGGCAGCAAUGCAAAUUAUUGUAAUGAUACUUAUCAACGUUUUUAUUUGGUUGUGCAGUACUCGCUAGGUGCUUGACGAAAUUCCCAUAUGAUGCAUGUGGCAAGGUUCCUAGAGGAUAAUGUAGAUUAAUGAUUCCAUGGAGAGCUCCCAGAAUCUUCAAUUGGAGGCAAUUAAAGACGGACCUCACCGGAUUGGAUUUGUCUAGCAUUCCAGCUAAGUUUCAAGGUAGCUUUAGGACUCCAUCCAAACAAUCACUGAUUAGUGGGUAGUAGGCAUGCAGUUUCAGUUAACCCGAAGCAUAAUCCACAUACAUUGUUCACUGGAGGUAUCCGUGCCAUUACACUCAUCCCUCUGUGUGAGUGACACAACUAUGUACUGCUAUAAAAACACCGGAGUGCCCAACAAUAUCUUAUAAUGGCUUUGGUGGCAGUAUGAGGCCUGGGAUAAUGUUUACUUGUGAUUCACAAAAUGGAAGUAUGUGCUAUAUCUUUGUAUGAAAUUAAGGAAACAUGUCACGUUCAUUGUCGCCUGGUUUAUGGUAACUGGUGUUGCCCCCUCCCUUGGAAUCUCUCAGAUCUAUGGCAUAGCCAGUUCUCCAUCCCGCAGUUUUCGCAUGUUGCAACACAGUGGCUCUUUUGUAGGACCAUCGUCGACAUAGACAAGUUCUGCUUCAAGGACGAGACAUAGAAGAAGGCUCGACAAGAGGAAGGAAGCAGCAUCCAUGUAAAGGAAUUUCUGCAAUGUAAUUCUGUGAAUUGCAGGUGUGGUUUAGCAACGUACCUCAUACAUACUUGGUUGCUGACAAAGGAGGGCAGAAUUGGUGUGACGCCCCGAGACCGAUGUGCCAGGCAAGACGACCAUACCCUCGACAUGGGUUGUAUGAAGAUUAUCUCACUUGCGACAUUGCUUUCAAUGCGGUUAUGCCUCUAAGUCGUGCUUCGACACGUGGGAGAUAUAGCUGCAUCAAGGGCGUUACAAUUGGAUUACAAAGGCUAAAGAUGGUACCAUCUGGCUCUCGCACUAGAGUUUUUCUGGAUGUUGGCUUUGGAGUAACAAGUUUUGGGCCAUACUUAAUUUCACGUGAAUUUGAGCAUGGUGUUCCUGUAAUGGUGGCAACUAAUUUAACACCGGCUAUUAUCCAAUGUUCCUGCUGUAGAAUAAAUUCGACAUGUGAUGGUGAGCUGAGAGAUGGAGGACCUAGCUCUCAAACGGACCAUGUUGGGAGAUUGUGAGGAAAAUAUGUUUCUAUGUGGAGGAAGCCUUUUAUAAAUAACUCAUGGUACAUGAGUCGUGAUCCUAGGGUCAAACCUCCACUUUGUGAUACUGAUGAUAAUUCCAGAUAAUGUCUGGUAUUUUCAACCCCAUCUGAUAUGCUUUUAAUAGUUAUGCCUCAAUUCAAGGACUAAAUUCAGAAUAUGUAUUAAGAAAGUUGUCCAUACUUUUUUUAGAUUUGUUUUGAACAUUUGCAUAAUUAUGCAAUCAUCUCUUGCAAAGUGUAGUCUCAUGAUUUCAACUUAUUUUUUUGUUGAUGAGUGAAUGUGUGAUACGUAA